ACACAGCACACACACACACACACUUAAAUGAGACUGGAUGUGAAUCGCGAGCGCAGCUGAUUCCCCGUCAAAACAAACAGCAGCCUUGAACUAUUUUUAGUACACGCCACAGAACAUGAAGGAUGACUUUGAGAUGUGAUUUGUGCCUUAGUCCGAACACAAAGACUCACUUGGGAGGGAGACAAGACUUCAAAUUUGAUGUGCAUCGCCAACGCGAUAUGAGCGCCGACUUAUGUACACAUAUACAAACAUACAUAGGUAUGAGCGAGUGCAUCAAAUUAAAUUACACACAGCAAUAAAUGUAGCAUGUGCCAUUGGCUUGCAUAUUUAUCCACGAUU